AGUGAACGCUGGCGGUAGGCCUAACACAUGCAAGUCGAACGGCAGCACAGGAGAGCUUGCUCUCUGGGUGGCGAGUGGCGGACGGGUGAGGAAUACAUCGGAAUCUGCCCAGUCGUGGGGGAUAACGUAGGGAAACUUACGCUAAUACCGCAUACGACCUUCGGGUGAAAGAGGGGGAUCGCAAGACCUCUCGCGAUUGGAUGAGCCGAUGUCGGAUUAGCUAGUUGGCGGGGUAAUGGCCCACCAAGGCGACGAUCCGUAGCUGGUCUGAGAGGAUGAUUCGGCAACACGGAACUGGGACACGGUCCAGACUCCUAAGGGAGGCAGCAGUUGGGAAUAUUGGACAAUGGGGGGCAACCUGGUCCAGGCCUACCGGGGGGGUGGAAGAGGGCCUUCGGUUUGAAAGGCCUUUUGUUGGGAAAGAAAUCUUUCAGGCUAAUACCCUGGGAGGAUGACGGUACCCAAAGAAUAAGCACCGGCUAACUUCGUG
rnacentral:rRNA from 1 species